rnacentral:rRNA from 1 species
GGACUACCGGGGUAUCUAAUCCUGUUCGCUCCCCACGCUUUCGCUCCUCAGCGUCAGGUAAGGCCCAGAGAACCGCCUUCGCCACCGGUGUUCCUCCCGAUAUCUGCGCAUUUCACCGCUACACCGGGAAUUCCAUUCUCCCCUACCUACCUCUAGUCUGCCCGUAUCCACUGCAAGGCCAGGGUUAAGCCCCAGCUUUUCACAGCAGACGUGACAGUCCGCCUACGAGCUCUUUACGCCCAAUAAUUCCGGACAACGCUUGCGCCCUACGUGUUACCGCGGCUGCUGGCAC